rfam:Fusarium fujikuroi IMI 58289 draft genome, chromosome FFTJ_chr03
AGCAGUUUGGCGCAGUGGAAGCGCGCCGGGCUCAUAACCCGGAGGUCACUGGAUCGAAACCAGUAACUGCUA